rnacentral:snRNA from 1 species
GUGCUCGCUUCGGCAGCACAUAUACUAAAAUUGGAAUGAUACAGAGAAGAUUAACAUGGCCCGUGUGCAAGGAUGACACGCAAAUUCGUGAAGUGUUCCAUAUUUUU